rnacentral:rRNA from 1 species
UAGGGAAUCUUGCGCAAUGGGCGAAAGCCUGACGCAGCAACGCCGCGUGGGGGAUGAAGGCCUUCGGGUUGUAAACUCCUUUUAGUGGGGACGAAAAUGACGGUACCCACAGAAUAAGCCCCGGCUAACUACGUGCCAGCAGCCGCGGUGAUACGUAGGGGGCGAGCGUUGUCCGGAUUCACUGGGCGUAAAGAGCUCGUAGGCGGUUUGGUAAGUCGGGUGUUAAAUCUCCGGGCUCAACUCGGAGUCGCCACUCGAUACUGCCAUGACUAGAGUCCGGUAGGGGACCAUGGAAUUCCUGGUGUAGCGGUGAAAUGCGCAGAUAUCAGGAGGAACACCAGUAGCGAAGGCGGUGGUCUGGGCCGGAACUGACGCUGAGGAGCGAAAGCGUGGGGAGCGAACAGGAUUAGAUACCCUGGUAGUCCACGCCGUAAACGUUGGGCACUAGGUGUGGGGCUCUAUCGACGGGUUCCGUGCCGCAGCUAACGCAUUAAGUGCCCCGCCUGGGGAGUACGGCCGCAAGGC